AGAAUACUCCCUCCGUCCGAAAAUACUUGUCCCAAAAAUGGAUAAAAUAGAUGUAUCUAUAACUAAACUAAGUGUAGAUACAUCCAUUUCGAGGACAAGUAUUCCCGAAUGGAGGGAGUAGCUU
rfam:Triticum urartu cultivar G1812 contig806714, whole genome shotgun sequence.